UUUGCUUUAUUUCAGUGGUGGAAUUUGACUGUCAGAGACCAACAAGCCAUACUGAGUAGAGACCAUCACCUCUCCCUCUCUGGUGAGGACUUUCCUGUUCUGCAUUUUGUCGGAUGUCUGACAUAACCCAUGUGGCCUGUGAGUGGAUCCAUAAUACUACUGUGAUGUGGUUUGGUGAAGGGGCAAGAAUGUGGUGAAGUUGAGAGCAGAUCUAAUAGUUAGGUACUGGACAGAUAUAAAGAUAUAGACCAAGGAUCUUCUAAUAGUGUAAGGUUGUGCUUGACAGCAUAAGAAGAAAACUGGUAGCUGUGAUGUCACAGAGUAUGAUGUAUUAAGCAGUUCCAGGAUAUUGCUGACAUAGAGAGAGGGUGUGAAUUGCAUGUUGACAAUGAAAAACAACAGAUUAUUUUGUUUGUGGAGCCAUUGAUUAGCAUAAGAGCAUGAAGUUGUGCUGCCACAGACGGAGACUCUGGGCUCUCCCCCACGGCCACAAGUGAAGGCAGCUGUGGGCUUGUUGGUUCAGGCACAGAAGCUGGAACCCCACAUAGGUUUGCACAGUGGAUGGUCAGCCUGAGCUGUGUGUUAGAGAUGAAAGGACAGAGCCAACAGCCAGCCUUGGGGCCCAGUUUGUGUUGUGCGUGUCUCCUGAGGGCACUUCUGUUUGCAUGUAGAGAAAAGUAGCCUCUUUUAGGCUGCAACUUUGAACUUCCUCUGUGCCAAGCAUCAGGAGUGACUUACUGUCCUCAAAUAUGGAGAGACAUUUCCCACCAGUGCAGAUUAAGUGUCUCUUGCCUCUGUGGACAUAGAAGAGUAGGAGGUAGGCAGUAAGCUAAGUUCUGUUCUCAUCCUUGAAGGUAAAAAACUGCUGUUUUUUGUCCAUCUGCACAUGUUCCUUAAAAUCUCAUAUUGAGGGAUUUGAUUUAGAGUACUUAAACAAAUGGCAGAUAGACACAGUGGAAAGGAGUUCAAGGGCAGGAGCAGUAAGCCCAAGGUGUAAAAACAUCUGAGGAGAAUUAAAGGCUGGUCUGUCUCCUGCUGAAACAGGCCCUCAAAGUGACAGAAGAUCUGCAGCACUUCCUAUGAGGAAAAUACAUUUUUUUUCUUUGUAGCUCUUGUUUCCACCUGGAUUGCCAAGUAGAAGUUUGCUCCUUAGAGAAGUAGCUGUUCAUUGUCCCUCUGCCCUGUGGCGGUUUGCUGUUGGCACACUGGAAAUGCUUGCUUUGUGCCUUUCCCCACAGUAACACACAGAGCAGAGUGUGCCUUUAUUUUCUUUUCCAGACAGGCUAUGCAGACACUGGUGGCAGAAAUAUUACAUGCUCUUUUGAGAUGUAAAUCUAUAAGAGAAUGCACUGACAUC